UGUAUACAAGUACCCAACUGUUGCAUAACAAAUAACGUUGUUUAAAUAACGGAGAUAAAACUGAUGAUGCCGUGGGUUAAAUGGCAAUAAAAAUGCAAUUUAUAAACAUUAUUAUUGAAAAUGUACCAUUAGUUUGGCACAUUUCAAUUUGGUAGCUGAUAAAAGUCCUAAAUUGCUAUUUUAAGAAGCAAAAACAACAACCUCGAGAAUAAUAAAAUCCUAAUCUGGCAUGAAGAAAACGGAUACUUUGCAUUUGAAAAAAAAUUGACUAGCGUGUUCCACACGAUUACUCACAAUCAGACAUUUUAAUCCUUGCUUGACAAUUUAAAUCUUUUUACAUCCAUCUGUAUUCGUCUCAGCAUUGUAUGGUGUAAAUCAGUGUAGCAAAGGAUUAAACUACAUUUUUAAGGCACAUA